UUUCCGUAGGUGAACCUGCGGAAGGAUCAUUAUUGUAUAACCGAGGUGCGAGGGCUGUCGCUGACCCGAAAGGUCGUGCACGCCCGAGUGCCCUCACACACAUCCAUCUCACCCCUGUGUGCACCACCGCGUGGGUCCCCCUUUGGCUUGUUCGGAGGGGGGCUUACGUUUUCACACAAACUUUGUAUGCAGUGUAGAAUGUAUUUUUUGUUUUUGCGAUCACGCAAUCAAUACAACUUUCAACAACGGAUCUCUUGGUUCUG
rnacentral:misc_RNA from 1 species